rnacentral:rRNA from 1 species
GAAAAGAGGCCUCUUAACAAUGCUCCUGCUUUUAGAUGAGUCUGCGUCUGAUUAGCUAGAUGGUGGGGUAACGGCUUACCAUGGCGACGAUCAGUAGUCGGCCUGAGAGGGUGACCGGCCACAUUGGGACUGAGACACGGCCCAAACUCCUACGGGAGGCAGCAGUGGGGAAUCUUCCGCAAUGGGCGAAAGCCUGACGGAGCAACGCCGCGUGAUGAAUGAAGGCCUUCGGGUUGUAAAGAUCUGUUGACAGGGACGAAUAAGCAAUGCGAAUAGUUUUGUGUAUGACGGUACCUGUUUAGAAAGCUCCGGCUAACUACGUGCCAGCAGCCGCGGUAAUACGUAGGGAGCAAGCGUUGUCCGGAAUUACUGGGCGUAAAGGGCGCGUAGGUGGGCGCUUAAGUCAGGUGUGAAAACUCCGGGCUCAACCUGGAGACUGCACUUGAAACUGGGUGUCUUGAGGGCAGGAGAGGAAAGUGGAAUUCCUAGUGUAGCGGUGAAAUGCGUAGAUAUUAGGAGGAACACCAGUGGCGAAGGCGACUUUCUGGACUGUACCUGACGCUGAGGCGCGAAAGCGUGGGUAGCGAACGGGAUUAGAUACCCCGGUAGUCCACGCCGUAAAC